GUACCUUUCUCGGCCUUUUGGCUAAGAUCAAAUGUCUGUUCAUAUCAGUUUAAUAUCUGACACGUAGGUCCUUGGCCCACGUGAUAUUAAAUUUAUUUUUCUGUGCACUGUAUUACUGCAGGGGCCUGGUGUACACCCCAAUGCUUAGUUUAAUCUUUGUUUUUAAAUUUUUAAUUCUCAUAUAAUGUAUAAAAAAAUGU